rnacentral:rRNA from 1 species
CCAACGACUCUCGGCAACGGAUAUCUCGGCUCAUGCAUCGAUGAAGAACGUAGCGAAAUGCGAUACUUGGUGUGAAUUGCAGAAUCCCGUGAACCAUCGAGUUUUUGAACGCAAGUUGCGCCCGAAGCCAUUCGGCCGAGGGCACGUCUGCCUGGGCGUCACAC